UUUUCCUAAUCUUCCCAUUUUUCCACUGUUUCAAAUAUUACUUAUCUUUGCUUCAUGGCUUAUUUUUCAUCCUCUGCAUGAGAUUUUAUAGUACGAUUUCAUCCUCAACUCCAAAGAUUAAGCAUUUGAUGAGUAAAGGGAGCUUUUGAAUUUAGAAAACAUGAAAAUCUUACUUUCAAGGUUGCUUUAUUUCUACGGGCCUAAAACAUUUAAUAUUGAUCAAUGAAUUACAUUUUCUAAGUUGAAUUCUUUUUUUUUUUUUUUAAAUUUUCUCAGUGGAUAGAGGAAUUAUGGGUCACCUAAGAAAAAGAGCUAAAGGGGACAAAUAGUGCUGGAUAAUUUCAGAAAUGCAAUGUCACAAUAUAUAAAGAAUAUAUAACCGUGGUAUGGUAACAUCUUCAAAUAAUUGUAUUUCCUUGAAUGUUCUGGAUUUUUAAAUAUAUUUUAGCAUGAAUGGAUUCCUGAAAGCUAAUAAAAAAAAAACCAACAAUAGCAUCUUCCUUCUCUUAAGUGCUAACCAGAACAGCUGAAGAUCUAAAGUGCUUUCUCAGUGGUCUUCAUGAUGGCUUGACAGACAUGGGAAAUUAAAGUGUAAGGGUGCUGAAUAACAAUAAGAUAAAUCAUAUUCUGCCACUUCUAUAAUUUCCAUUGAUGUAACACGAAUUAUUGCUUCCACAUUAAUACAGUAGGAGGAAUUAAGCAACAGCUGCCUUUAGGAAACCGAAGAGUAUCUAACUUUUGCAAUGUAAGGCAGCUCUCUAAAUAUAAGAUAGAUAUAAUCAGCCUAUCAUAGCUGAUGUGUGAUAAUGGAGAGACACAAUUCAAAAUAACUUCAGGUCAAAAAUAUCUACCAAAUAAGGACUCAUAAAGCACAUGUUUCCCGUAAGUUCAUAACAGUGCUUUGUAAAAUACUUAGUCUGUUUUAAACAUUUAAAAUAUAUAUUAAUGUUUAAUACACACAUACACUAAAAGUGUAUCAAUGGUAGGAGCUGAUGAAUUUUCAAUAAAGGAAUACACCUGUGAAACAAAUACAGAAAAGGAAACAGAUAUUUGCAAUUUCUGAAAUGGACAAUUAAUUACAGUUUAGAUUAUUUUUACAUGCACACACACACAAUCUCACGCACAUAUGUAUUCCUCUGUGUAAUUUUCCCAUAGUGUAUAUUCAUUCUGUCAAAUGUAAGACUUUGGAUGAUGUGUAAUUUGCUGACUUUAUGAACAAUGAUGCUGUGAACCACACUGCCAUUCUUUUGUGACUUAAGAAUCAGUAUUAGAUGCAGAAAUAUGUAGGAGUGAAAUUGAUGACCAUUAGGAGAAAAAUAUGCUCAGACUUGCUGGUUGUUUCCUGAAUCUGUUCUAACCAAUUUGUAACCAUGUGCAAUGCAUCUCUAGCUGCUCCCAUCUCAGCCCUCGGUCACCCAUUCCUGUGACAUCAGAGACUUAGAACUGCCUGGGAUUUAUUGUAGUUGAGAGCUACAAUUUUGUGACAACUAAAGGAAUUGAUCAUUUUUCUAUAAUUUAAUUUAUCACUGAAAAUUUCCCAAUAUUAUAUACUGUUUUGGUUUGGUUUGGGUUUUUUGCCAGCUGCCAGCAUUAAAGAGUGCAAAUCUACUUUCCCAAACAGUUUGAAGAAUGUAUUUUGUUAAUAUUAUGGGUAUGAGCUUCACAGGAUAUUUACUUCAUAAAUUACUUUAAUAGAAGUUUUCAAUUAAUGUACUAUCUGUUCAUAAUCAGACUAUUUCUAAUUAUUAGAAAAUAGUAUAUCAGAAGGUAUACAUAUUUACUUAUACUAAUAAAGAAAAUUAUUUCUCAAUAAUUUCCACUUUUUGAUUUUAGUUCAUUAAUUUAUCCUUUUAUUCAUAUAUUCAACCAUCUUUACCCAAGUCUUGUUAGACUUAAUAGUUAUACAGAUGGGAUUACAACCAGAGUUGAUGGUAGAAACCAGAAAUAUUU
rnacentral:lncRNA from 1 species